GGUAAUUUUAACGGUGACCGGUCGGUCCUCGCGCGCCUCCCCGGGUCCCUGCACCUAGUUGGAGGGGACAGAGCGACAGCGGGGUGCAACUCCGGGCGCCCUGGAGGACUCUCCGAGGGGUGUCGGGCUUCAGCUCGCAGCCGGCGAAAUAGCCCCCUCCCCGGGGGAGGGGAGGGGGGCCAAGCGUGAUCCCGACGUGCCCUUCGUCCCGGGCACGCCGAGAAUCGUCUAAGAGGGCUGACUCGGAUCGUGGUGCACGUUAACCCUCAAACCGCUUUCGUUCCGGACCAGGACCACGGGGCUGCGGGGAUUGCCUCUGCGUGCAACUCAGGAAAGUUUGAAGGGUCCCCGCGACUGCAUGUGCACCGUCACCUUUCCUGCCCGUGAAAGCGGGUGCCCUCCCUGCCCCCCCCCCUUUCGCUCUCUGCAGGUCUGGAAAUCUGCUUUGGGUACUGAAGUCCCCAGUCCCAGCCUUGGAAGAAGACCCGCGCACUCCUUUCGCAGCUGAUUCGGGAUCAUUAAUUUAAUCGGAAAUGAGGUAACCAGUGCAGGAGAUACAGAAAGCAAACCGAGCAUCAAAUGGCAGUUCUCAUGAAUCCACGCUGAGGAACUUCCUCUGCGCUCAAUGCUGAUGCGCGGUUCUCAGCUGCCCACCACCCCGCCCCUCCGCGUGCACCACCGCCAGGUGUUAGUCGGUGGGAAGGAAUCUUCUGUGGACGGGUGCACCCUGCCAACAGGUGUGGCUCCUGGAGAAGAGCGAAGGCACCUCGGUGCUGAAGGGAGCUCAGUGCGGCGUUCUCCUUGCUGCAGAUAAUUCUGGAAGACCAGUAGGUGUCGGGGCAGCAUUUGACCUCUUUCAGCCUCUAGUGGACAGUUGAAAUCAGUUUCCUGAAAAGGCUCUUCCUGGCGUUUUGUUGUUGACAAGCGUUAUCAAGGUGAAGGCUAAGAUCUCAGAACAGAACCGGAGACUGGCUCCUCCCCCUGCUUGGUGGAUUCCGCUCUCGAAAGGAUCAGAAGCAGUCGGUUCGGCACCGAAAAGACGAAUGCUUUGUGCUAUGGGCAUUAUUAUUACUGGCCUGUGAAUAAACAGAGCUUCUGCUAUUCAUUUCA